ACUACGGGAGGCAGCAGUGAGGAAUAUUGGUCAAUGGGCGGAAGCCUGAACCAGCCAAGUAGCGUGCAGGAUGACGGCCCUACGGGUUGUAAACUGCUUUUAUACGGGAAUAACGCGCCUUACGUGUAGGGCUUUGCAUGUACCGUAAGAAUAAGGACCGGCUAAUUCCGUGCCAGCAGCCGCGGUAAUACGGAAGGUCCGGGCUUUAUCCUGAUUUAUUGGGUUUAAAGGGAGCGUAGGCCGCAUGUCAAGCGUGCUGUGAAAUGUCCGGGCUCAACCCGGGCCUUGCAGCGCGAACUGGCGUGCUUGAGUCCGCGGAAAGCAGGCGGAAUUCGUGGUGUAGCGGUGAAAUGCUUAGAUAUGACGAAGAACCCCGAUUGCGAAGGCAGCUUGCUGCAGCGGAACUGACGCUGAUGCUCGAAAGCGCGGGUAUCGAACAGGAUUAGAUACCCCUGUAGUC
rnacentral:rRNA from 1 species